UGAUCAGAUCCCAGCAGCUGCAGAAUGCUGAAUGCGGGAAGGUUAGGGGAGAACAAGGGUAGAGGAUGGGGUAGCCAAGACCAUUAACAGCAUGAACUUCCUUUGGAGAAAGGAUGGAGCCUUCCUUUCCACACCGGGUGUAAUUCCCCAGGACCUUUGUGCCUUUCCCGUGCGUUUCACAUCCUAUGCAGAGUCCGCUUCUGCAUAAGAGGAAAAGCCCUACAAAACGAAGACCAGAUCUAUGAGUGUGGCACUUUCGCUCGGAACACAUGUGGAAAAAUGCAGUGGAAGCAACAACAAAAAAUAAAACCCGGUACCUGCAACUGCUGAGAUCCUUCCAGUACUCACCCUUUCGGCAGCCUGGUUUCUCCUUGGCAGCACUUCUAUGCCAAAUGCUUCUACCUUCCCAAAAAUGUGUGUCAGCACAAGCCCGGACGAAACUUCAAAUCCAGGAAAAUGAAAUUAACCAUGCAGAUCAAAGACAGACGAGCAGGGAGAUGAAAUGCCUGUAAUCUGAUCAGUGAUCAGUUGCUGAACAUCAAAGGCUGGGCCGAGCUUAUAUAUAUGCACGGAUAUCAAGAAAGUUCGCUUUCAGCAGCACAGAGAUCUUGUGAACACACAGCUACAUGGCAGCUGCCUGCAAACCAGGAAUGUGGCCCUUACCAGGAAUCAAAUCUGCUGGCACCUUGAUCUUGGACUUCUCAUCUUCCUGGAGCGCAAUUAUGUAGGUUAUCAAUCUGAGUGGAUGUGAAGCCCAUUAAGUUCAUCCAGCAGAACGCUCAUUUCCUCCUCCUGCCUUCCGUGUGAGCCGUUCCCUUCUCAGCACACUGAUCAAACACGAGGUCUGUCCACUCCCAUGGCCCUGUCUGAAGCCGAUGAAGCAAAGACUAAGACUUAAUUCAUCCCAAGCAGAACCUGCACAUUCCAGCAUGUGAGCGUAUUUCUGGGUCAUCCCGCACUGACAGCUGAUUCUGUUACAGCAUUGUCUGGGUGAACGUUUCUGAACCUGAUGAAACAGGAACCUCAGAAACCUUUGCAGAUGCUCAGGGCCAUUCACGCUUGUCUGCACCGCAGCCCUUACCUUGUGACUGACACUGAGUCCCCUCUCUCAGGGGCAAGAGGCCAAGUGGGCAGCGCCAGGCCCUUUGCCCCAGUCUCCUUCAUGUGGUGCUGGGGGUCCUGGAGGUCCUGGGGAUGCAGACAGUGGAGGCACUGCCCUGAGUGCUGGUACUAAAGAGAGCCAGAGGGAAGGGGAAGGGACCAUGCAGAGCAGGAAGUAUAAUAGGAAGAGUGGAUCCUGUUUAGAAAUUAUCCUCCAUGUUGAUUUUGCAGUUAGAAGUUAAUAUAAUAAUAUGAAGGAGUUAGGAAGAAAGAAAGAGGGAGGAAACAA